GAUGAAGAACGCAGCGAAAUGCGAUAAGUAGUGUGAAUUGCAGAAUUCAGUGAAUCAUCGAAUCUUUGAACGCACAUUGCGCCCCCUGGUAUUCCGGGGGGCAUGCCUGUCCGAGCGUCAUUACAACCCUCAAGCUCAGCUUGGUAUUGGGCCCCGCCGCUUCGGCGGGCCCUAAAGUCAGUGGCGGUGCCGUCCGGCUCCGAGCGUAGUAAUUCUUCUCGCUCUGGAGGCCCGGUCGUGUGCUUGCCAGCAACCCCCAAUUUUUUUCAGGUUGACCUCGGAUCAGGUAGGGAUACCCGCUGAACUUAAGCAUAUCAAUAAGCGGAGGA
rnacentral:misc_RNA from 1 species